GGUGUGUUGAGGCAAUGCUCCCCGUAGCAGCAUUGAGGCAUUCCUGCAAUAAAGGCUGUUGAGAAGAACCCGACCGUGUUGUGUCUUCCUUGCUGGCCAAGGUGGGCGCAACAUCUGGUGGCCUGUACAGGGCCCAAGGACAACGACCUUGUGGAUUCAGAACUCUUCAGCUGAGGAACGGUGGUACCGGAACAAGAAAAUCCAAUCUGGGUACCAGAGCGAUUGACAUGAAAGCUGCCUACAACUUCUAUCCCGUCCUCCCCCACCCCCCCACCGAAGAUGAAACUAUGGAUCCUGUGGCUGGGAAUGCUCCCGCUAGUGAGAAAUGAAGAGCUACGUUGGGGAAUUAUGUCUGUGUUCCUGAAACCCAUGCCAUUGACGCAUUCAAGUGUUUCCUCAAUUCUUUACAUCUAAUGCUUCACUACAAUUGCCUUUUUUCUAUGCUGCUUCAGNNNNNNNNNNNNNNNNNNNNNNNNNNNNNNNNNNNNNNNNNNNNNNNNUAAUGCUACCUGGAUUUGAGGGGUGUGGCCUGCCAGUAUAUCCAAGGGCAAUGGCACUAUACCCUCCCAACCUAGAUGGGCCCCCCUUCCUUUUUGUAGGAGUAUUCCUGAUUCCCUUCCACCUUGGGCAGUGCUCCUUAUAUGUAUGGUUGUCAUGUGGGGUGAAUGGUAGUUGCACUGAUCCCUUGCCUCAGGGCUGAUGGGAGCCAUGGGAUGUAUGCUUGUAAUAGUGUGUGUGUUGUGUGUUUGGUGUAUGUGUUGGAUGCAGUGUGUGCAGACCGGAACUUCCACCAUGGUGGCGCAGGCCUUUGCCAGAGUAGAGGUGGGACAAUCUCAGAUUUGGCUUGCCGCUCUAAAGAAAUAAUGCUGUGUUAUGCCAUGGGUUGCAAGGCUAAGCACUGCACAGAGGAUAGCUUGCUGUUGGCAUCCUGUGGAAGGCACGUCUGAUUGCAUGAAGGUUCAGUNCUCUGGGUGAUGAACCCAAAGGAUGGUUUUGUGUAGGGCCCCUAUGCUUGCACACUGGGGAUCAGACCUCUACCUUCACCCAUGAGGCUUGUGUAGCAAUCAAAAUUGGGCCAGAGAUUAAUCAGUGUCCUGGCCUUCUGGUGCAUCUGCUGCAUGCAGACAGGACAAUCUCCUCAUGUGUGGCUUGGCAUGCUAGAAAAGUAGUCAGUGGCAGAUAAGACUUCCCUGGGCAUGUCACCAACCUAAGACAGCGAUCAAAUCAAUGCUGCUUGUCUCUCAAGGACGGGUAAGGGGCAUUGCUGCAGGGGGCAAUCUAAGACAGACAUUCUCUCUGCCAAAAAAAGGGGGGAGAUGUGAGGAGUGGGUGUGGACGCAGUUCCAAGAUGGCGCUCGGGACUGCAGCUAAGUCUUAUGACUUGCACCUGACUUCCUCAUACACCUGAAAAUAAACCAUGACCAUCGUGAGAGCUGUGCAGGUGUACCACGAUGCUGGCAAUGUAAUCAAGUCCAUAUUUGGUGGAGACAUGCCUCUGCCGCCCUGAUUGGCUGAAGCUGCGUGCCUGGUGAGGUGGCAUGGCCUGCUGUGAGUGGUUGGGGGCUGAGAGUAUAUAAGCAGACCUCCCUGGGUUCCCAGGGUCCCCGUAGCAGCAUUGAGGCAUUCCUGCAAUAGAGGCUGUUGAGAAGAAUCCGACCGUGUUGUGUCUUCCUUGCCAGCCUAGGUGGGCACAACAAAAGACGAUUUAUUAAGCAAGUGGCAAUAGAUAUCACCUAUAAACCUAUACACAACAGCUAAAGACAUGGCUUAGUGGGUAAAGGUGCUUGUUAAGCGAAACUGAAAAUCUGAGUUCUAUCCCUCUAUUCCACAUAGAAGGCACUGGAUUAUGUACACACACACACACACAUGUUCCAAUAAAGAUU
ensembl:processed_transcript